GGUCAUGAGCGCCAGCGUCAAGCCCCGGCUUGCUGGCCGGCAACCCUCCAACCGCGGUGGGGUGCCCCGGGUGAUGACCAGGUUGAGUAGCCACACCCAACGGCUACACGGCAAGCGCGGGUC
rfam:Mycobacterium intermedium strain HMC2_M5 PROKKA_contig000030, whole genome shotgun sequence.